rnacentral:lncRNA from 1 species
GGAAUAUUGUGUGUCCAUUCCUGAAAGUGCCCAUUUUUCAAAAUGAAAGCAUUUUGUGAUAGGUCUUCAGAGUUUAUUGAUAAUUACAUAUGGUUUUAAGUUGCAAAUAUGUAAUGGUACACUAGCUUUGAUUCUUUUUGAUGUUAUCAAUUAAAUGUUUAUAGGAAGUAAAAUCUUAGGUAAUAUUUUAUCUCCAAGUGAUAUGUUUUCCUUUUGCAAACACCAAAUAUAUAACAUUUAUAUUUUGAGUAUUCAAAGAGCUUUUACCUUGAAUCUGUGUCUUCUAAUCAUGAAGUGCAGAUGAUUUCUAAGGCAGAUAGCAUUUGGUUUAUUCAAAAAACCUUUUAACAUGUCUUGUGCAGUCUGUCAUACUGAUAAAAUAUGUCCUUCCUCCUCUUCCUCCUCUUCCUGUACAUAUAAAUUUUUUUAUUCUGAAAUUUUAUUUUUACUUUUUACAGAAUAAAACACAUACAUUUAAACACAAUUACAUUCACACAGAUUAUUAUAUCAUAGAUCUUAAGAAACAGAUUAAGUGACUCCCUCUGGAGUUAUCUAUUGCAUUUCAAUUUUUUUCUUUAAAAAUUAGCAUUAUAUUAAAAUUGUGUAUAUUAUGCAACUAAAAUUUAUAAAUUUAUAAAGAAGAAAGCCUUAUAUACCAUUAAAUAUUUUAUAUAGCAUAAUAAAAAGAAUAAAUUAACUGGUAAGAAUAACAAAAAUAAUACACCCUCUGAAAAUAAGUAAAAUAUAAAAUGCAUAAAUUGGUUAAAAAACAGUGUAACUAUAUAAAUAUGUCCUCACAAUUUGUUACAUCUUAUUGAUUCUUCAAUAUAGGCAUUACACCAUUCUAGGUGAUGUGAUAAACAAGACAUUAUAGACCUUACAUUGUACCAUGGAGAGAAAUGGUUAUUAAUAAUACAAUUGUAGAACUGUAUUAUUUAAUUGUACAGUUGCAUUAUUUAAUUAUAAUUAUCAUAAAUUCUUUGAUGGAGAGGAAAUCAGAAUCAGAUCUAAGAAGACUUCAGCAUUCCAAGAAUGAUGUCAAAUGACCCCCUUCAUGGUGGAUUAUGCACUUAUUUACUAUGAGAUAUAUUUCUUCUCCAGAGAUUCCUUGUUUGUGUAUCAAUUGUAGAUUUUUGGUUUGCAGUUAUUCUGAAGUUUUGAUAUAAGAGUCUAUAUGUAUAUGAGAUUGUUUUAAGUUGUUGUUCUCUUAAUUGCAAGUUCAUCUCCAGUGUCCUGCAUUUGUACCCACCUCUUCUCAUGAUUUCUGAUUUUGGUGGUAUAAUUGUGCAUGGAUGAUUUCGUAUCUUUACUGUAUAUAUACCUUUACUGGUGAGCCUUGUCAUUUGUGGAAUUUUUGUUUCCUGUUGCUGUCUUUUCUUUUCUGCCUAGAGAAGUUCCUUUAGUAUUUGUUGUAAGGCUGGUUUAGUGUUGCUGAAUUCUCUCAGCUUUUGCUUAUCUGUGAAGGUUUUGAUUUCUCCUUCAAAUCUGAAUGAGAGCCUUGCUGGGUAGAGUAAUCUUGGUUGGAGGUUUUUUCCUUUCAUCACGUUAAGUAUAUCAUGCCACUCCCUUCUGGCCUGCAGAGUUUCUGCUGAAAAAUCUGCCGAUAACCUUAUUGGGGUUCCCUUGUAUGUUACUUGUUUCUUUUCCCUAGCUGCUUUCAAGAUUUUCUCUUUGUCUUUAAUUUUGGUCAGUUUGAUUAAUAUGUGUCUCGGUGUAUUCCUCCUUGGGUUUAUUUUAUAUGGUACUCGUUGUGCUUCCUGGAUUUGAGUGAGUGGUUCCUUUCCCAUGUUAGGGAAGUUUUCGGCUAUUAUCUCUUGGAAUAUUUUUUCUGUCCCCUUCUCUCUCUCUUCUCCUUCUGGCACCCCUAUAAUACGGAUGUUGGUGCGUUUAACAUUGUCCCAGAGUUCUCUGAGACUCUCUUCAUUUGUUUUCAAUCUUUUUUCUCUUUUCUGUUCUGCAUCCGUAAUUUCCACUAAUCUGUCCUCCACCUCGCUUAUUCGUUCUUCUGCCUCCUGUAUUCUGCUGUUAGCUGCUUCUAGUGAAUUUUUUAUUUCAGUUAUUGUAUUUUGCAUCUCUUCUUGUUUAAGUUUUAUAUCUUGUAUCUCUUUGGUCAGUGUUUCCUGUAAGUUAUCCAUCUUUGCCUCCAGUUUAUUUCCAAUGUCUUGCAUCAUCUUCAGCAUCAACAGUCUAAAGUCUUUUUCCUGGAGGCUGAGAAUCUCCUCCUCACUUAGCUGAUUUUCUGGGGUUUUUCCUUUCUCCCUCAUCUGAAUUAUAGUUCUCUGUCUUUUCAUUUUUAUAGGUUUUUGGUGUGGUAACCUUUUUUACAGAUAAUAGAGUUGUAGCCUCAAUUACUUCUGGUGUCUGCCCCCCUUGUGGCUGAAGUUGGUCUAGGGGCUUGCUGUAGGCUUCCUGAUGGGAGGGACUGAUGCCUGCCCACUGGUAGGUGGAGCCGAUUCUAAUCCUCUGGUGGGUGGAACUUAGUCUCUGGAUGGGAUUAGAGGCAGCUGUGUGCCUGAGGGGUCUUUAGGCAGCCUGUUUACUGAUGGGUAUGGCUGUGAUCCCAACUGGAUUGUUGUUUGCCCUGGGGCUUCUCAGUGCUGACUGAUGGGUGGGCCAGAUUUUCCCAAAAUGGCCACCUCCAGAGAAAGGCAGCUGCUGAGUAUUCCCAAGAGCUUUGCCUUCAAUGUCCUUCCCUCACAACAAGCCAUAUUCACCCCUGUUUUCUCAGGAUGACCUCCAAGAACUGCAGUCAGGUUUAACCCAGAUUCCUAUGGAGACCUCGCUCUACUCUGGGAUCCAGUGUACGUGAAAGUCCAUGUGCACCUUUUAAGACUGGGGUCUCUGUUUCCCCCAGUCCUGUGGAGCUGUUGUGCACAAACCCCACUGGCCUUCAAUGCCAGAUGCUUUGGGGGCUCUUUCUUCCAGUGCCAGAUCCCCACAGGUGAGGGUUUGAUGUGGGGCUAAGAACUCUCACUCCUGUAGGUGAGUCUCUGUGAAGCAGUUACUUUCCAGUCUGUGGUGCUUCCCACUCCUGAGGUAUGGAGUUGUUUAUAUUGUGAAAUCACCCCUCCUACCUCUUGAUGUGUCCUCCUCUUUUUCUUCUGGAGUAGGGUAUCUUUUUUAGGUUUCCAGUCCAUUUGAGUGGAGAUUUCUCAGCCUUUAGUUGUGAAUUUUGUUGUUUUUAGGAGAGAAGUUGAGCUCCAGUCCUUCUAUUCCUCUGUCUUCCAUAUAAAUUUUUAUUUAAUUUAGUUUGAAAUAGCUUGCUUCUACUUUUCAUUUCCUCUUCAUGUUUGUGGCACUGUCUUUUACUCUUUGUUCUUUGCUGACAAAAGUAUUUAUCAACAUAUCAUCUAAGAAGAUUGGUUCCCCACAUUGGUGAUAACCAAUGCUUCACCAUAUGGAAAAUGUCUCUUCUUAUUUAUUCCUAAGGUCUCUAUCCAGACUUCCAUAUGUCAGGUUUAUCCACUGACAUUUGAGAUUUAAAACUAAUUUGACAUUUGAAAUAUAAAAUAAUUUUAUGAAUAAAAAUUACCUGUGGAUAUUGUCAUUAAUUACUAGAUUUUAAAAUAGUUUACAUCUAAACUUAAAAAAAAAUACUUCUUUUGGUAUCAAGCAAACAUGAAUUUGGAUUUCAUUUCAUUUUACUGUCCUAAUGGAAAUAUAAGUCUUGCAAUACAUUUAUUUGUCAUUUGUCUUCGCUACAAUACCUUAAAUUGUUGAAAGGAUAAAAUUAGCCUGAAACUAUUUUUUAAGAAAUGACUUAUUGCUUCAAAUUUAACUCCUUUCUCCAAUGUUAAAAUACAACUGAUGAAUAGCUAGUCAGUUCCAAGAAUGAAAAUUUCUGCCAAAGCUUUUGAUUAUACUCUGUCACAAAAGUCCCAAUAAAAUAUAUAUAAGAGAGAAAGGAUAGAAAAUAGAAAACAAACAAAAAAUCUGCAAUUAUUUAAAAUUACCAACUUGGUAUUAUGACUAAGCUGGUAUUAAUUCACUGUGAUUACAGGAAAUCACAACUUCCUAGGUGCUAAUAUAGCAUAUGAGAAGAUGAAAGCAUAUGUAUAAAGAGAAUCCCUGUGCUAUACUGUGGGUCCUUGGUAUCGAUCUAUUUGUGGAUCUUAUGGUAUAUGUCAAUUCCAACCCUCUCUACUUCUUUAAUUUCUUGAAGAUAUGGUUUUGGUAUAAAAGCCUUAACAUGACAAACUUUAGGAACCCUACAUUCUGUUAUUUGUGAUAUACAGGAUUUUAUAAUGAUGUUUCAACCACUGAACCUUGUCCUCUGGGAUAUUCAUCCAUCCUCCUUGUCUCUGGCUUAGAAUCAUCAAGUCCUCCAACACUCUUCAUGGGAGUUUACAUUGGUACAAGCACUACUAAGGAAAAAAUUGUGGAAAUACCUCAAAAAACUAAAUAUAGAACCACCGUAUGGCCCAGCAACCCCACUCCUGGGCACACAUCCAGACAAAACUUUCAUUGAAAAAGAUACAUGCACCCGUAUGUUCAUUGCAGCACUCUAUAUGCAAUAGCCAAGACUCGAAAAUACACAUUUUCUCCAGUGUUCAUUGAAACACUAUAUACAAUAGCUAAGACAUGGAAACAACCUAAAUGUCCAUUGACAGAGGAGUGGAUAAAGAUGUUGUAUACAUUCACAACAGAAUAUUACUCAGCCAUUGAAAGGAAAGAAAAUAAUGGCAUUUGUAGUAACAUGGAUGGACCUAGAAAUUAUCACGCUAGGUGAAGUCAGUCGGACAGUGAGACACCAACAUCAAAUGCUAUCACUUACAUGUGAAAUCUAAAAAAAGGACACAGUGAACUUCUUUGCAGAACAGAUACUGACUCACAGUUUGGAAACCACAAUUUGAAAAAAUCAUGGUUUCCAAAGGAGACAGCUUGGGGGGUGGGGAGAUGGGCUGGGGGUUUGGGAUGGAAAUUCUAUAAAAUUGUGUUGUGAUGAUUGUUGUACACCUACAAAUGUAAUAAAAUUCAUUGAUUAAUUUCAAAAAUAAAUAAAAUAUACAAAUGAA